rnacentral:rRNA from 1 species
UACGGGGGGGGGCAAGCGUUGUUCGGAAUUACUGGGCGUAAAGGGCGCGUAGGCGGCCUACUAAGUCGGACGUGAAAUCCCUCGGCUCAACCGAGGAACUGCGUCCGAUACUGGCAGGCUGGAAUCCGGGAGAGGGAUGUGGAAUUCCAGGUGUAGCGGUGGAAUGCGCAGAUAUCAGGAAGAACACCAACGGCGAAGGCAGCUCGCUAGGACGGUACUGACGCUGAGACGCGAAAGCGUGGGGAGCGAUCCGG